CCUACGGGCGGCAGCAGUGAGGAAUAUUGGUCAAUGGGCGUAAGCCUGAACCAGCCAAGUCGCGUGAGGGAUGAAGGUCCUAUGGAUCGUAAACCUCUUUUAUAAGGGAAUAAAGUGCGGGACGUGUCCCAUUUUGCAUGUACCUUAUGAAUAAGGAUCGGCUAACUCCGUGCCAGCAGCCGCGGUAAUACGGAGGAUCCGAGCGUUAUCCGGAUUUAUUGGGUUUAAAGGGGGCGUAGGCGGGAUUUUAAGUCAGCGGUGAAAGUUUGUGGCUCAACCCUAGAAUUGCCGUUGAAACUGGCGGGCUUGAGUAUGUUUGAGGCAGGCGGAAUGCGUGGUGUAGCGGUGAAAUGCUUAGAUAUCACGCAGAACCCCGAUUGCGAAGGCAGCCUACCAAGCCAUGACUGACGCUGAUGCACGAAAGCGUGGGGAUCAAACAGGAUUAGAUACCCCAGUAGUC
rnacentral:rRNA from 1 species